CACCGCGGUUAUACGAAUAGGCCCAAGCUGAUAGGCAUCGGCGUAAAGGGUGGUUAUGAUCCCGUUGAAAUAAAGUCGAAUACCUUCAAGGCUGUUAUACGCUCCCGAAGGUAAGAAGCCCAACUACGAAAGUGACUUUAAAGACUCUGACCCCACGAAAGCUGUGACA
rnacentral:rRNA from 2 species